rnacentral:rRNA from 1 species
GUGAAUAACCAAGGGCGCGCGGUGGAUGCCUAGGCUCUCGGAGGCGAUGAAGGACGCGAUAAGCCGCGAUAGGCCACGGCGAGGUGCAAGUAACCCUUGACCCGUGGAUUUCCGAAUGGGGCAACCCGGCUGGAUAGAUUCCAGUCAUCCUAAAUGGAGGCGAACGCGGGGAACUGAAACAUCUCAUUACCCGCAGGAGAAGAAAACAACAGUGAUUCCCCCAGUAGUGGCGAGCGAACGGGGAAUAGCCCAAACCGUUGCCGUUUCGGCGACAACGGGGUCAUGGGACCACGACACUCGAUAAACGUUCAAGCGCAAUUACCUGGAAAGGUAAGCCGUGGAGGGUGAUAGCCCCGUGCGCGUAAAGACGUUUAAAGACAGUGGCAUCCCGAGUAGGGCGGGACACGAGAAAUCCUGCCUGAAUUCACCAGGACCGCCUGGUAAGGCUAAAUACUCCCGAGAGACCGAUAGUGAACCAGUACCGCGAGGGAAAGGUGAAAAGCACCCCUAGCCGGGGAGUGAAAUAGACCCUGAACCCGCGCGCCUACAAGCGGUCGGAGC